AGCGAACGCUGGCGGCAGGCCUAACACAUGCAAGUCGAACGGAUCCUUCGGGAUUAGUGGCGGACGGGUGAGUAACACGUGGGAACGUGCCCUUUGGUUCGGAACAACUCAGGGACACUUGAGCUAAUACCGGAUGUGCCCUUCGGGGGAAAGAUUUAUCGCCAUUGGAGCGGCCCGCGUCUGUUUAGCUAGUCGGUGAGGUAACGUCCCACCAAGGCUACGAUCAGUAGCUGGUUUGAGAGGAUGAUCAGCCACACUGAGACUGAGACACGGCCCAGACUCCUACGGGAAGCAGCAGUGGGGAAUCUUGCGCAAUGGGCGAAAGCCUGACGCAGCCAUGCCGCGUGAAUGAUGAAGGUCUUAGGAUAGUACAAUUCUUUCAGCGGGGACGAUAAUGACGGUACCCGCAGAAGAAGCUCCGGCUAACUUCGUG
rnacentral:rRNA from 1 species